rnacentral:rRNA from 1 species
CUACGGAGGAUGCGAGCGUUAUCCGGAUUUAUUGGGUUUAAAGGGAGCGUAGGUGGGAUAUUAAGUCAGCUGUGAAAGUUUGGGGCUCAACCUUAAAAUUGCAGUUGAUACUGGUUUCCUUGAGUACGGUACAGGUGGGCGGAAUUCGUGGUGUAGCGGUGAAAUGCUUAGAUAUCACGAAGAACUCCGAUCGCGAAGGCAGCUCACCGGGCCGGAACUGACACUGAUGCUCGAAAGUGCGGGUAUCAAACAGGAUUAGAUACCCUGGUAGUCCGCACAGUAAACGAUGAAUACUCGCUGUUUGCGAUACACUGUAAGUGGCCAAGCGAAAGCGUUAAGUAUUCCACCUGGGGAGUACGCCGGCAACGGUGAAACUCAAAUGAAUUGACGGGG